rnacentral:misc_RNA from 1 species
UAAUCUCACUCCAACAUCUUUGUUGGAUGUGGACUUGGAUGUUGUCGUGUUCAACGACUCGUCUUAAAUGCCUGAGUGUACCCUGCUUUGCAGCGUAUCAGUGUGAUAAACAUCUUCACUGUUAAGUCUUUUGGGACACGCUUGCGUUGUAGGCUCUAUGCUUUCCAACCGUCCUCUGGACAAUCUCUGACA